UACGUAGGUGACCAGCGUUGUCCGGAUUUACUGGGCGUAAAGAGCGCGCAGGCGGUCGUUCAAGUCGAGUGUGAAAGCCCCCGGCUCAACUGGGGAGGGUCAUUCGAUACUGAUCGACUCGAAGGCAGGAGAGGGAAGCGGAAUUCCCGGUGUAGUGGUGAAAUGCGUAGAUAUCGGGAGGAACACCAGUGGCGAAGGCGGCUUCCUGGCCUGUUCUUGACGCUGAGGCGCGAAAGCUAGGGGAGCAAGCGGG
rnacentral:rRNA from 1 species